rnacentral:rRNA from 1 species
CCUACGGGAGGCUGCCAUCCAGGGAGGGCUUAUCACCGGGGAGCUGUCCGUUGACCAGGAUAUUAUCAUCACCGAUGUUUGCCCCUACACUUUAGGUGUGAAAUGUAUUAUGGAAAUAAACGGACUGCCCCUGCCGGGUAUGUUUGAUCCCUUGAUCACGAGGAAUACUACCAUUCCUGUCUCCACCAAUAAACUUUACGAGACUUCCUUUGAUAAUCAAGAUAAGGUGUAUAUUGACGUUUAUCAGGGGGAAAGAGAAAUUGCCAUAGAGAAUAAUGAAAUCGGCAGUGUUUUAUUAGGUGAAAUUCCCCCGGCAAAAGCAGGAGAGGAAAAAAUUGAUGUACAGUUUUCCUAUGACAUUAAUGGAAUAUUGGACGUCAAAGCCCGGAUCGUGAGUACCGGCCGGGAUGCCUCGAUCAGUAUUGAUACCCUAGUAGUC